rnacentral:rRNA from 1 species
GAAUUCGCCCUUGGGGAAUUUUCCGCAAUGUGCGAAAGCCUGACGGAGCAAUACCGCGUGAGGGAGGAAGGCUCUUGGGUUGUAAACCUCUUUUCUCAGGGAAGAACAGAAUGACGGUACCUGAGGAAUAAGCAUCGGCUAACUCCGUGCCAGCAGCCGCGGUAAUACGGAGGAUGCAAGCGUUAUCCGGAAUGAUUGGGCGUAAAGGGUCCGCAGGUGGCAUUGUAGGUCUGCUGUUAAAGAGUUUGGCUCAACCAAAUAAGAGCAGUGGAAACUACAAAGCUAGAGUGUGGUCGGGGCAGAGGGAAUUCCUGGUGUAGCGGUGAAAUGCGUAGAUAUCAGGAAGAACACCAGUGGCGAAGGCGCUCUGCUAGGCCGAGACUGACACUGAGGGACGAAAGCUAGGGGAGCGAAUGGGAUUAGAUACCCCAGUAGUCCUAGCCGUAAACGAUGGAUACUAGGCGUAGCUCGUAUCGACCCGAGCUGUGCCGGAGCUAACGCGUUAAGUAUCCCGCCUGGGGAGUACGCAGGCAACUGUGAAACUCAAAGGAAUUGACGGGGGCCCGCACAAGCGGUGGAGUAUGUGGUUUAAUUCGAUGCAACGCGAAGAACCUUACCAAGGCUUGACAUGUCACGAAUCCUAUUGAAAGAUGGGAGUGCCUUCGGGAGCGUGAA